GUGUUCGCCGGCAGUGACGUGCAGCAGCUCGACUACCGGCGCUUCAAGACGUUCGUGUUCCCGGAGACCGGGUUCAUCUCGGUCACCUCCUACCAGAACGAGCAGAUAAUUGCGCUGAAAAUACAGAACAAUCCGUAUGCCAGGUCAUUCUGCAGCAACACUGACAGGAGAAAUGCUCUCAAGCGUUUGAUGGCGGAAGAAUCAGCGUCCGACGAAGACA
rnacentral:lncRNA from 1 species